UACAGAGGUCCCAAGCGUUGUUCGGAUUCAUUGGGCGUAAAGGGUGCGUAGGCGGCGCGGUAAGUCGGGUGUGAAAUCUCGGGGCUUAACUCCGAAACUGCAUUCGAUACUGCCGUGCUUGAGGACUGGAGAGGAGACUGGAAUUUACGGUGUAGCGGUGAAAUGCGUAGAUAUCGUAAGGAAGACCAGUGGCGAAGGCGGGUCUCUGGACAGUUCCUGACGCUGAGGCAACGAAGGCCAGGGGAGCAAACGGG
rnacentral:rRNA from 1 species